rnacentral:rRNA from 1 species
CCUACGGGGGGCAGCAGUGAGGAAUAUUGGUCAAUGGCCGGGAGGCUGAACCAGCCAAGUCGCGUGAGGGAAGACGGCCCUAUGGGUUGUAAACUUCUUUUGUCAGGGAGCAAGGUGCAGGUCGGGACCUGCUGUGAGAGUACCUGAAGAAAAAGCAUCGACUAACUCCGUGCCAGCAGCCGCGGUAAUACGGAGGAUGCGAGCGUUAUCCGGAUUUAUUGUGUUUAAAGGGUGCGCAGGUGGUUUGACAAGUUGGUAGCGUAACUCCGGGGCUCAACCUCGGCACUACUACCAAUACUGUCGGACUUGAGUGCAGGAGGGGGAAAUGGAAUGCCUGGUGUAGCGGUGGAAUGCGUAGAUAGUAGGAGGAACACCAGUGGCGAAGGCGAGUUACUGGACUGUAACUGACGCUGAGGCACGAAAGCGUGGGGAGCAAACAGGAUUAGAUACCCGGGUAGUC